UACGAAGGGGGGCUAGCGUUGUUCGGAAUUACUGGGCGUAAAGCGCACGUAGGCGGAUAUUUAAGUCAGGGGUGAAAUCCCGGGGCUCAACCCCGGAACUGCCUUUGAUACUGGGUAUCUCGAGUCCGAGAGAGGUGAGUGGAAUUCCGAGUGUAGAGGUGAAAUUCGUAGAUAUUCGGAGGAACACCAGUGGCGAAGGCGGCUCACUGGCUCGGUACUGACGCUGAGGUGCGAAAGCGUGGGGAGCAAACAGG
rnacentral:rRNA from 1 species